CUUUGAUACCAACAGUUUAUCUGAGGCAGUUUUCAGCAGAGCAUCAAUAAAAGAACGUCCCAUUUACUGAGGAGAAAUAGAAGCAGAGUGGAAGGAGAGCUGCGGAUUUUUAAAGCUUAAUUUGAAUGGGAUCUUUGUCCAACAGAGACUGAAGGAAAAUAUUUUCAACCAACAUUAAAGAUGCAGUGGUUUGUGAUUCUGCUGUAUCUGAUGGGACAGAUUUGUUUCAUCAACUGUCAGCUCUAUGAGUAUCACUACAUUAAUAAGGAAAAGACCUGGACUGAAGCUCAGCAGUACUGCAGAGAGAAACACACUGACCUGGCCACAGUGUCUAACAUGGCAGACAUGAAGAGACUCAACAGUACCAGAGCAGGAGAUAAGAGGGAAGCUUGGAUUGGUCUGUAUGAUCAGACAGAUGGUAACAGAACAUGGUACUGGUCUCUGCCUGGAGUGGAGUUCAAUGAAAGGGAGACAAACUGGGGCACAAAUG